ACGUACUUAAGCUGGUGCAUCCGUAUUUGCGCCAAAAUUUGUACCGAAUUUUUUGAACUCGUUACGCCGCUAUUUAUUACAGAAUGAAUUUAAAGCGUAAUUUUUUCACAC
rfam:Vibrio cholerae O1 biovar eltor str. N16961 chromosome II, complete sequence.